UAGUUAAGUCAGAUCCUUCAUUUUCAUACAACCAUAUUUGAAAAAUGCUGUCUUUAUAGAUAUCACAACAAAGCAACAUAUUCAAAUAUGCCAUAAAGUAUGCAGCAUGCACCAAGACAACUCCAUAUCAAUUUUCAUAGCAAGCCUUAUGGAUAUCACAACAAACCUACGAUGGUCUUUGACAGAGUAUUAACUAGGC
rnacentral:lncRNA from 1 species